UGGGGAAUCUUGCGCAAUGGCCUAACGGCUGACGCAGCGACGCCGCGUGCGGGAGGAAGGCCUUCGGGUCGUAAACCGCUGUCGGGAGGGAAGAAGCGGCCGGGGGGGAAAUACCCCGGCUCUGACGGUACCUCCAAAGGAAGCACCGGCUAACUCCGUGCCAGCAGCCGCGGUAAUACGGAGGGUGCAAGCGUUGUUCGGAAUUAUUGGGCGUAAAGCGCGCGCAGGCGGCCGGACAAGUCCAUGGGUGAAAGGCCGGGGCUCAACCCCGUGUGUGCCCAGGAUACUGUCGGGCUGGAGACACGUAGAGGCAAGCGGAAUUCCGGGUGUAGCGGUGGAAUGCGUAGAGAUCCGGAAGAACACCGGAGGCGAAGGCGGCUUGCUGGGCGUGAUCUGACGCUGAGGCGCGAAAGCGUGGGGAGCGAACAGG
rnacentral:rRNA from 1 species